AAUAGAUACCCGGGUAGUCCAUGCCGUAAACGAUGUCUACUAGCCGUUGGGGCCUUUGAGGCUUUAGUGGCGCAGCUAACGCGAUAAGUAGACCGCCUGGGGAGUACGGUCGCAAGACUAAAACUCAAAUGAAUUGACGGGGGCCCGCACAGGCGGUGGAGCAUGUGGUUUAAUUCGAUGCAACGCGAAGAACCUUACCUGGUCUUGACAUAGUAAGAACUUUCCAGAGAUGGAUUGGUGCCUUCGGGAACUUACAUACAGGUGCUGCAUGGCUGUCGUCAGCUCGUGUCGUGAGAUGUUGGGUUAAGUCCCGCAACGAGCGCAACCCUUUUCCUAUUUGCCAGCGGGUUAAGCCGGGAACUUUAAGGAUACUGCCAGUGACAAACUGGAGGAAGGCGGGGACGACGUCAAGUCAUCAUGGCCCUUACGACCAGGGCUACACACGUGCUACAAUGGUCGGUACAAAGGGUUGCUACCUAGCGAUAGGAUGCUAAUCUCAAAAAGCCGAUCGUAGUCCGGAUUGGAGUCUGCAACUCGACU
rnacentral:rRNA from 1 species